CAUGCUUGAAUAUAACUCUUCAGACAAUUAUGUGAUUCAAGCGUUUCGAAAGUUGCAGCUGCAUCUUCAUAAGUACUCUCCUUCCAUGGAACUUAACGCAAUUGAAAGACAAAUAUUUUUCUUCUCAUAUAUCAAGACGAGGGGGGGGGGGAUAUAGAAUUGUGUAUAGGAAGAUGAUAUGAUGGGUUUAUUUUGUCUAUAUAACGUAAUGACUGACUUAUAGGGAGAUUCUCUUUUUCUUUUUGGGUUGAAUUAAUUAAUUUAUCUUUGGGUUAAUAACUUUGUCUUUUAUUGGUAUCCGUCGUCGUUUUACCGGAUUACGUGGACCCCAUAUUGAGCAUUAUCAUAGCUAGUGGGAACAACAAAAUGGGAAAAGGACCAAACAAAAGGCUUCACUCGGUCUCGCUUUUUUAAAAUUAUACUGUAAUUUUCACGUGGUAGUUUUACGCAUGUAACGGUACAAUGCCGUCACGCAGUUGGACGAAACUUCUUUAUAGAUAAAUUAAAUGUAAAACAUGUACUAGUUAAACUAAUUUUAACCCCUAAGACCAACUCCAUCAAUGGGUUCCUAUAGGGUUCUAAACCCAAAAGGUGAAAAAAAAAAAAUAAAAAAGACCCAAAAUUAAGAGAACCGGUGCCAUAUUCAGGCUUUUUAGAACUGGUAAGAGGCGCCUACGUGUCACUCCCUCGUUGCACCGCUUCUGUUUUGUCCCUCUCUCUCCUUUGGUCGGGGUUUCGAUGAAACCAAAGACAAUCUAGUCUCUUGGAGUCUCCGUCUCGUUCUGAGCGAUCUUCUCUCCGACCGAUCCGUUUCGCAAACUCCGGCGACUCCGUCGGCCCAUCUUCUCCGUCGUCUCCAUGGGUCUGUCCUUUCUCUCGGUCCUAGUCGUCUGUGUCACCGCGUCCUCUCUCUCAGUCCUAGUCGUCUGUCUCACCGCGUCCUCUCUCUCACUGCUGAUGGACGCGCUUUUGAGAAAUAAUUUGUGAUACUCUGUUUUGGGAUUUGAUUCGAGUGAGGAAUGUGGAGUUAUGAUCGCUAAUCGUCUUUGGCUUCAUCCUUGCUUUGGCUUCUUACUUUAUAUGGUUAAGGGUCUCCCAGAAGAGAAAGAAUUCACUCACGUUAAUAUUACACACGACCAGUCAAGUGGUGGUGGGUGCGAUCGUGGGUUCUGUUUAUUCCACCUUAUUGUACAUAACGUGGAACUCACUUGUUCUCGAAGCUUUUGCCUCAUCAUUCUCAGUACAGGUAGCUGUCUUUACGGCUGCUGCUGCAUCUGCUCUAGGUUUUGCAGUUUAUGUGCUACUUAACUGGUUCAAAGAUGACGACAGAUGACAAAGAAAAUAUAAUAAUUCCAGGGUUAUAAAACUAUUCAUUUGUUUCCCAUUUCACUCAUACUGUUUGAGCUGUCUAGCAAUCAACAUUACCACUUGUGUUCUUCUUGUAAAGGAGCUUCUUGAAAUCAGUUUCAUUCAAGUUCUUUGUGUUUUCUGCUG